rnacentral:rRNA from 1 species
UACGUAGGGGGCUAGCGUUGUCCGGAAUCAUUGGGCGUAAAGCGCGCGUAGGUGGCUUCAUAAGUCCGUUGUGAAAGUCAAAGGCUCAACCUUUGAAAGCCGAUGGAUACUGUGGAGCUAGAGUACGGAAGAGGCGAGUGGAAUUCCUGGUGUAGCGGUGGAAUGCGCAGAUAUCAGGAGGAACACCAAUAGCGAAGGCAGCUCGCUGGGACGUUACUGACACUGAGGCGCGAAAGCGUGGGGAGCGAACAGG